ACGGAACUCGGGAAAAUAAAAUUUAAGAAUAGAGUGCGGCAUUCGAUAAAAGUGAAUAUAGUAGGCCCUGAAAAAGUUUACCUUAGGACUGAAUUUACAAAAUAUUUAGUUAGUGUCUCGGAGUUUGUUGAGACAAGAUAUAUACGGAUCUCGGAAAAAUUCAAAUAGAAUAAAAUUUCGGAAAGUGAAAAAGUGAAAAUUCAAAUUAAAAAUAUUUUGUUGGCGUUUAAAUAAAAUUUAAGAAUAGAGUGCGGCAUUCGAUAAAAGUGAAUAUAGUAGGCCGUGAAACAGUUUACCUUAGGACUAAAUUUACAAAAUAUUUAGUUAGUGACUCGGAGUUGUGGAGAAAACAUGAAUACGGAACUCGGGAAAAUUAAAAUAGAAAACAAAAUUUCGGAAUUUUUAAAUAAGUGAAAAAGUAAAAAUUCAAAAAUUUAAGAAUAGAGUGCGGCAUUCGAUAAAAGUGAAUAUAGUAGGCCCUGAAAAAGUUUACCUUAGGACUGAAUUUACAAAAUAUUUAGUUAGUGUCUCGGAGUUUGUUGAGACAAGAUAUAUACGGAUCUCGGAAAAAUUCAAAUAGAAUGAAAUUUCGGAAAGUGAAAAAGUGAAAAUUCAAAUUAAAAAUAUUUUGUUGGCGUUUAAAUAAAAUUUAAGAAUAGAGUGCGGCAUUCGAUAAAAGUGAAUAUAGUAGGCCCUGAAACAGUUUACCUUAGGACUGAAUGUACAAAAUAUUUAGUUAGUGUCUCGGAGUUUGUUGAGACAAGAUAUAUACGGAUCUCGGAAAAAUUAAAAUAGAAACAAAUUUCGGAAAGUGAAAAAGUGAAAAUUCAAAUUAAAAAUAUUUUGUUGGCGUUUAAAUAAAAUUUAAGAAUAGAGUUCGGCAUUCGAUAAAAGUGAAUAAUUCAAAGCAGUUAAAUCAAAAUUAUAGCAAACUCAAAUUCAACAGUUAAAUCAAAAUUAUAACAAACUCAAAUUCAACAUAUUUCGUUCUUUGCUCUCAAUCAUACAAAUGAUUAUUUUUCUGUGAUUUUGUGGAGGGCGGUCCUCCUUAAACGACGGUGUUUCCUGGAUACUGGAUUUUUAAGCCUGUGCACUCAUACACUUUCAAACUUAGCCGCGCAGCUCCAGCUCUAGCUCAAGUGUUUAAAUAAACAGGGCCUCAGUGGGUUAAGUUCGUUUUGUCAUUGGUAUAUUUACAGUAUAUUUAAAAAUGUGAAGAAGUAUUUUUUUUCUUCUUUUCUUGCCACCACGUCUAGCAGCUCACUAGCAGCAUGUAUACUUUUCUAGUAUUUACUAGUAUAUUUUAAGACGCGCUAUGGACCUCCACCCUCCUGUCCAAUGCACCAAUGUAGAAAUCGCGUAGAAACGCCACUUAGAGCCAUGUCCCAGGCCACAUCGAAUACUAAUUCGUGCUCAGCAUUGAAUUCCUGGUCGUCUGUCAUCAAAAUCUAAAUUUUUCAAAAUAUGUCAGAAUAAAAGUCUUGUCAAAAAUGUUUUU